CCAAUGUCCCUGCCAUAUCCCUCUUGUUUCCCUAUUGUAUCCCUGCCACAUCCCUGCAGUAUCCCUACCAUAUCCCUAUCAUUUUCCCAUUGUAUCCCUGCCUUUUCCUUAUCACAUCCCUGCUGUAUCCCUGCCGUAUCCCUAUUGUUUCCCUAUCGUAUCCCUGCUGUAUCCCUAUCAUUUCCCUGUUGUAUCCCUGCGUUUUCCUUAUCACAUCCCUGCUGUAUCCGUUUCGUAUCCCUGCCAUAUCCCUAUUGUUUCCCUAUCAUAUCCCUAUCAUAUCCCUGCCAUAUCCCUGCCGUAUCCCUGCUGUAUCCCUGCCAUAUCCCUAUUGUUUCCCUAUCAUAUCCCUGCCGUAUCCCUGCUGUAUCCCUGCCAUAUCCCUAUCCUAUCCCUGCUGUAUCCUUAUCGUUUCCCCAUCAUAUCCAUGCCAUAUCUCUAUCAUAUCCCUGCCAUAUCCCUAUUGUUUCCCUAUCAUAUCCCUGCCAUAUCCCUGCCAUAUCCCUGCUGUAUCCCUGCUGUAUCCCUGCCAUAUCCCUAUCCUAUCCCUGCUGUAUCCCUAUCGUUUCCCCAUCAUAUCCAUGCCAUAUCUCUAUCCUAUCCCUGCCAUAUCCCUAUUGUUUCCCUAUCCUAUCCCUGCCACAUCCCUGCCGUAUCCCUAUCAUUUCCCUAUCAUAUCCAUGCCAUAUUUCUAUCGUAUCCCUGCUGUAUCCCUAUUGUUUCCCUGUCAUAUCCCUAUCCUAUCCCUGCCGUAUCCCUUCCAUAUCCCCAUCCUAUCCCUGCUGUAUCCCUGCUGUAUCCCCAUCAUAUCCCCAUCAUAUUCUGUUCCUAUCCCUGCCAUAUCCCUGCCAUAUCCCUGCCAUAUCCCUGCCAUAUCCCUAUUGUUUCCCAAUUGUAUUCCCAUCAUAUCCCUGCCAUAUCCCUGCCGUAUCCCUGCCGUAUCCCCGCCGUCCCCCAGCCCCAAUUUCUGCCCCCCCUCCGGUGCUUUUUGAUCCCAUCCCACCCCGCAGGGAUCGAAUACAACCUCAUCCGCGUCCCCAUGGGCUGCAGCGAUUUCUCCACGCGGCCCUACAGCUACGACGACGUCCCCGAUGACUUCGAGCUGCGGCACUUCGUGCUGGCCGA
rnacentral:lncRNA from 1 species